CCUACGGGAGGCAGCAGUAGGGAAUAUUGCUCAAUGGGGGAAACCCUGAAGCAGCAACGCCGCGUGGAGGAUGAAGGUUUUCGGAUUGUAAACUCCUUUUGUUAGAGAAGAUAAUGACGGUAUCUAACGAAUAAGCACCGGCUAACUACGUGCCAGUAGCCGCGGUAAUACGGAGGGUGCAAGCGUUACUCGGAAUUACUGGGCGUAAAGGGCGCGUAGGCGGGAUAGCAAGUCAGAUGUGAAAUGCUAUGGCUUAACCAUAGAACUGCAUUUGAAACUGUUAUUCUAGAGUAUGGGAGAGGUAAGUGGAAUUCUUGGUGUAGGGGUAAAAUCCGUAGAGAUCAAGAGGAAUACUCAUGGCGAAGGCGACCUGCUAGAACAUAACUGACGCUGAUGCGCGAAAGCGUGGGGAGCAAACAGGAUUAGAUACCUGUGUAGUC
rnacentral:rRNA from 1 species